GGAGCGGUAGUUCAGUUGGUUAGAAUACCGGCCUGUCACGCCGGGGGUCGCGGGUUCGAGUCGCGUCCACUCCG
rnacentral:tRNA from 2 species